GAGGAUAUAGCCUAAUGGCAGAGCGGGUGCUUAGCAUGCACGAGGCCUGGGUUCAAUCCCCAGUACCUCCA
rnacentral:tRNA from 1 species